rnacentral:rRNA from 1 species
GGAUUAGAUACCCUGGUAGUCCACACCGUAAACGAUGAGUGCUAGUUGUCUGCAGGCAUGCCUGUAGGUGACGCAGCUAACACAUUAAGCACUCCGCCUGGGGAGUACGGCCGCAAGGUUAAAACUCAAAGAAAUUGACGGGGGCCCGCACAAGCGGUGGAGCAUGUGGUUUAAUUCGAAGCAACGCGCAGAACCUUACCUACGCUUGACAUGCCUGGACGACUCCGAGAGAUCGGUUUCUCCCUUCGGGGCCAGUGCACAGGUGCUGCAUGGCUGUCGUCAGCUCGUGCCG